UAGCGUAUAUUAAAGUUGUUGCGGUUAAAAAGCUCGUAGUUGGAUUUCUGCUGAGGACAGCCGGUCCGUGCUAUGCGCGUGUAUCUGGUUUGGCCUUGGCAUCCUCUCGAAAUACGUAUGUGCGCUUAAUUGCGUGGUGCGGAGUUCGAGACUUUUACUUUGAGGAAAUUAGAGUGUUCACGGCAGGCGACCGCCUUGAAUAUAUUAGCAUGGAAUAAUAAUAUAGGAUUUUGGUUCUAUUUUGUUGGUUUCUAGAACUAGAAUAAUGAUUAAUAGGGACAAUUGGGGGCAUUCGUAUUAACGCGUC
rnacentral:rRNA from 1 species